rnacentral:rRNA from 1 species
UACGAAGGGGGCUAGCGUUGCUCGGAAUCACUGGGCGUAAAGCGCACGUAGGCGGAUUGUUAAGUCAGGGGUGAAAUCCUGGAGCUCAACUCCAGAACUGCCUUCGAUACUGAGGAUCUCGAGUCCGGGAGAGGUGAGUGGAACUGCGAGUGUAGAGGUGAAAUUCGUAGAUAUUCGCAAGAACACCAGUGGCGAAGGCGGCUCACUGGCCCGGUACUGACGCUGAGGUGCGAAAGCGUGGGGAGCAAACAGG